rnacentral:lncRNA from 10 species
GAUACAGCCUAGGCAACACAGCCAGACUGUGUCUCAAAAAUAAAUAAGUGGCCGGUGCGGUGGCUCACGCCUAUAAUCCCAGCACUUUGGGAGGCCGAGGUGGGUGGAUCACUUGAGGUCAGAGGUUGGACACCAGCCUGGCCAACAUGGUGGAACCUUGUCUCUACUAAAAAUACAAAAAUUAGCCGGGUGUGGUGGCAUGGGCCUGUAAUCCCAGCCACUCAGGAGACUGAGGCAGGAGAAUCACUUGAACCUGGGAGUCGGAGGUUGCAGUGAGCUGAGAUCACGCAACUGCACUCCAGCCUGGACCACAGUGAGACUCUGUUUCAAUAAUUAUAAUAAUAAUUAAUAAAUAGAAAUAAAUAAAGUAAAACAGAGGUGGUAAGCUAGGGCCCCCCAAACCCUGCCCCUGGCUGUUUUUUUAAGGUCUGGGAGCUAUGAAUGGACUUCACAUUUUUAAAUGGGGGUGGGUGAAAAAGAACAUUUCUGACACCUGAAAGAGGUAUGAAAUUCAGAUUUCAGUGUUGGUAAGUAAAGGUUUACGGCACACAGCCAAAUGAUUCACAUACGGUUAGUGGCUGCUCUCACACCAGAAGGGCAGAGUUGAGUAGUGGGAGCAGAGACUCCAGCCUUUGGCAGGAAAGCUUGUCCACUCCUGAUUUACGAGGUGGAAGCUAGUCAGAGACCAAAGGAUUCAGCAGUGCAGUUGGGUGAAUUUUGUGUUCUGGAUGAGGCUCAUUCAUUCAUUCAACAAUCCUUUUCUUGAGCACUUCCUGUGUGCUGGGCUCUGCGCUUAGAGCACUGCUAAUGGACAAGUGAACAAAAGAAACAAGAAUGUCUGCCCCAGGCUGUUCUGGGGCUGGCGGGAAACAAAUGAAGAUGAAUCGGCCAGGUGCGGUGGCUCACACCUGUAAUCCCAGCACUUUGGGUGGCUGAGGUGGGCGGAUCAUUUGAGGUCAGGAGUUCAAGGCCACCCUGGCCAACAUGGUGAAACCCCG